rnacentral:rRNA from 4 species
GAUUAAGUUAUUAAGGGCGCACGGUGGAUGCCUUGGCACUAGAAGCCGAUGAAGGACGUUACUAACGACGAUAUGCUUUGGGGAGCUGUAAGUAAGCUUUGAUCCAGAGAUUUCCGAAUGGGGAAACCCAGCAUGAGUUAUGUCAUGUUAUCGAUAUGUGAAUACAUAGCAUAUCAGAAGGCACACCCGGAGAACUGAAACAUCUUAGUACCCGGAGGAAGAGAAAGAAAAUUCGAUUCCCUUAGUAGCGGCGAGCGAAACGGGAAGAGCCCAAACCAACAAGCUUGCUUGUUGGGGUUGUAGGACACUCUAUACGGAGUUACAAAGGACGACAUUAGACGAAUCAUCUGGAAAGAUGAAUCAAAGAAGGUAAUAAUCCUGUAGUCGAAAAUGUUGUCUCUCUUGAGUGGAUCCUGAGUACGACGGAGCACGUGAAAUUCCGUCGGAAUCUGGGAGGACCAUCUCCUAAGGCUAAAUACUCUCUAGUGACCGAUAGUGAACCAGUACCGUGAGGGAAAGGUGAAAAGCACCCCGGAAGGGGAGUGAAAUAGAACCUGAAACCGUGUGCUUACAAGUAGUCAGAGCCCGUUAAUGGGUGAUGGCGUGCCUUUUGUAGAAUGAACCGGCGAGUUACGAUUUGAUGCAAGGUUAAGCAGUAAAUGUGGAGCCGUAGCGAAAGCGAGUCUGAAUAGGGCGUUUAGUAUUUGGUCGUAGACCCGAAACCAGGUGAUCUACCCUUGGUCAGGUUGAAGUUCAGGUAACACUGAAUGGAGGACCGAACCGACUUACGUUGAAAAGUGAGCGGAUGAACUGAGGGUAGCGGAGAAAUUCCAAUCGAACCUGGAGAUAGCUGGUUCUCUCCGAAAUAGCUUUAGGGCUAGCCUCAAGUGAUGAUUAUUGGAGGUAGAGCACUGUUUGGACGAGGGGCCCCUCUCGGGUUACCGAAUUCAGACAAACUCCGAAUGCCAAUUAAUUUAACUUGGGAGUCAGAACAUGGGUGAUAAGGUCCGUGUUCGAAAGGGAAACAGCCCAGACCACCAGCUAAGGUCCCAAAAUAUAUGUUAAGUGGAAAAGGAUGUGGCGUUGCCCAGACAACUAGGAUGUUGGCUUAGAAGCAGCCAUCAUUUAAAGAGUGCGUAAUAGCUCACUAGUCGAGUGACACUGCGCCGAAAAUGUACCGGGGCUAAACAUAUUACCGAAGCUGUGGAUUGUCCUUUGGACAAUGGUAGGAGAGCGUUCUAAGGGCGUUGAAGCAUGAUCGUAAGGACAUGUGGAGCGCUUAGAAGUGAGAAUGCCGGUGUGAGUAGCGAAAGACGGGUGAGAAUCCCGUCCACCGAUUGACUAAGGUUUCCAGAGGAAGGCUCGUCCGCUCUGGGUUAGUCGGGUCCUAAGCUGAGGCCGACAGGCGUAGGCGAUGGAUAACAGGUUGAUAUUCCUGUACCACCUAUAAUCGUUUUAAUCGAUGGGGGGACGCAGUAGGAUAGGCGAAGCGUGCGAUUGGAUUGCACGUCUAAGCAGUAAGGCUGAGUAUUAGGCAAAUCCGGUACUCGUUAAGGCUGAGCUGUGAUGGGGAGAAGACAUUGAGUCUUCGAGUCGUUGAUUUCACACUGCCGAGAAAAGCCUCUAGAUAGAAAAUAGGUGCCCGUACCGCAAACCGACACAGGUAGUCAAGAUGAGAAUUCUAAGGUGAGCGAGCGAACUCUCGUUAAGGAACUCGGCAAAAUGACCCCGUAACUUCGGGAGAAGGGGUGCUCUUUAGGGUUAACGCCCAGAAGAGCCGCAGUGAAUAGGCCCAAGCGACUGUUUAUCAAAAACACAGGUCUCUGCUAAACCGUAAGGUGAUGUAUAGGGGCUGACGCCUGCCCGGUGCUGGAAGGUUAAGAGGAGUGGUUAGCUUCUGCGAAGCUACGAAUCGAAGCCCCAGUAAACGGCGGCCGUAACUAUAACGGUCCUAAGGUAGCGAAAUUCCUUGUCGGGUAAGUUCCGACCCGCACGAAAGGCGUAACGAUUUGGGCACUGUCUCAACGAGAGACUCGGUGAAAUCAUAGUACCUGUGAAGAUGCAGGUUACCCGCGACAGGACGGAAAGACCCCGUGGAGCUUUACUGUAGCCUGAUAUUGAAAUUCGGCACAGCUUGUACAGGAUAGGUAGGAGCCUUUGAAACGUGAGCGCUAGCUUACGUGGAGGCGCUGGUGGGAUACUACCCUAGCUGUGUUGGCUUUCUAACCCGCACCACUUAUCGUGGUGGGAGACAGUGUCAAGCGGGCAGUUUGACUGGGGCGGUCGCCUCCUAAAAGGUAACGGAGGCGCUCAAAGGUUCCCUCAGAAUGGUUGGAAAUCAUUCAUAGAGUGUAAAGGCAUAAGGGAGCUUGACUGCGAGACCUACAAGUCGAGCAGGGUCGAAAGACGGACUUAGUGAUCCGGUGGUUCCGCAUGGAAGGGCCAUCGCUCAACGGAUAAAAGCUACCCCGGGGAUAACAGGCUUAUCUCCCCCAAGAGUUCACAUCGACGGGGAGGUUUGGCACCUCGAUGUCGGCUCAUCGCAUCCUGGGGCUGUAGUCGGUCCCAAGGGUUGGGCUGUUCGCCCAUUAAAGCGGUACGCGAGCUGGGUUCAGAACGUCGUGAGACAGUUCGGUCCCUAUCCGUCGUGGGCGUAGGAAAUUUGAGAGGAGCUGUCCUUAGUACGAGAGGACCGGGAUGGACAUACCUCUGGUGUACCAGUUGUCGUGCCAACGGCAUAGCUGGGUAGCUAUGUGUGGACGGGAUAAGUGCUGAAAGCAUCUAAGCAUGAAGCCCCCCUCAAGAUGAGAUUUCCCAACUUCGGUUAUAAGAUCCCUCAAAGAUGAUGAGGUUAAUAGGUUCGAGGUGGAAGCAUGGUGACAUGUGGAGCUGACGAAUACUAAUCGAUCGAAGACUUAAUCAA